GUGGGGAAUAUUGGACAAUGGGCGAAAGCCUGAUCCAGCCAUGCCGCGUGAGUGAUGAAGGCCCUAGGGUUGUAAAGCUCUUUUACCCGGGAUGAUAAUGACAGUACCGGGAGAAUAAGCUCCGGCUAACUUCGUGCCAGCAGCCGCGGUAAUACGAGGGGAGCUAGCGUUGUUCGGAAUUACUGGGCGUAAAGCGCGCGUAGGCGGUUUUUUAAGUCAGAGGUGAAAGCCCGGGGCUCAACCCCGGAAUAGCCUUUGAAACUGGAAAACUAGAAUCUUGGAGAGGUCAGUGGAAUUCCGAGUGUAGAGGUGAAAUUCGUAGAUAUUCGGAAGAACACCAGUGGCGAAGGCGACUGACUGGACAAGUAUUGACGCUGAGGUGCGAAAGCGUGGGGAGCAAACAGGAUUAGAAACCCGAGUAGUCC
rnacentral:rRNA from 1 species